GACGAACGCUGGCGGCGUGCUUAACACAUGCAAGUCGAACGGAAAGGCCCUGCUUUUGUGGGGUGCUCGAGUGGCGAACGGGUGAGUAACACGUGAGUAACCUGCCCUUGACUUUGGGAUAACUUCAGGAAACUGGGGCUAAUACCGGAUAGGAGCUCCUGCUGCAUGGUGGGGGUUGGAAAGUUUCGGCGGUUGGGGAUGGACUCGCGGCUUAUCAGCUUGUUGGUGGGGUAGUGGCUUACCAAGGCUUUGACGGGUAGCCGGCCUGAGAGGGUGACCGACCACAUUGGGACUGAGAUACGGCCCAGACUGCUACGGGAGGCAGCAGUGGGGAAUAUUGCACAAUGGGCGGAAGCCUGAUGCAGCAACGCCGCGUGCGGGAUGACGGCCUUCGGGUUGUAAACCGCUUUCGCCUGUGACGAAGCGUGAGUGACGGUAAUGGGUAAAGAAGCACCGGCUAACUACGUG
rnacentral:rRNA from 1 species